UGGGGAAUAUUGCACAAUGGGCGAAAGCCUGAUGCAGCAACGCCGCGUGAGGGACGACGGCCUUCGGGUUGUAAACCUCUUUAGCAAGGAAGAAGCGAAAGUGACGGUACUUGCAGAAAAAGCGCCGGCUAACUACGUGCCAGCAGCCGCGGUAAUACGUAGGGCGCAAGCGUUAUCCGGAAUUAUUGGGCGUAAAGAGCUCGUAGGCGGUUUGUCGCGUCUGCUGUGAAAACCCGAGGCUCAACCUCGGGCCUGCAGUGGGUACGGGCAGACUAGAGUGCGGUAGGGGAGAUUGGAACUCCUGGUGUAGCGGUGGAAUGCGCAGAUAUCAGGAAGAACACCGAUGGCGAAGGCAGAUCUCUGGGCCGUAACUGACGCUGAGGAGCGAAAGGGUGGGGAGCAAACAGGCUUAGAUGACCCUGGUAGUCCACCCGUAAACGUUGGGAACUAGUUGCGGGUCCAUUCCACGGAUUCCGUGACGCAGCUAACGCAUUAAGUUCCCCGCCUGGGGAGUACGGCCGCAAGGC
rnacentral:rRNA from 1 species